rnacentral:lncRNA from 1 species
GACUUCCGCCUGCGCGCUUCCGGCACCCACAGUCGGGUUCCAGGUUCCACCGUGGCGCUCCAGAGCGCCGCGCUUCUCGGGCGCACCUCUUCUCUGCCCUCUGUCACCUCAUACCCGUCAGUCCGCUCAGGACUGAUGAACCAAGUACUUUCUGAUGGAGACCGAGUUGGUCGAUGAGGCAGAGCUCAGGGGUUACCUAGUUGGGGCCAGGGUAAGGGAACAAAUGGAAAGAGCGGUUCGUAAAUCUUUAAACAGCUCUUAGAGGUUAUUUGCAAGAAUAAUUCCUAAGCAUCGGAAAUGCUGGGACAUUCUUGUGUGGGAGAAGUGUGCACACAACAAACAUAUCUUUCAGAAAGUCGAAAUGAGAUAGAUGAGAGAGGGUAGUAAAUAUAAAGUAGCAAUGGCAGGUUGCAAUGAAGAUACCGGGGCUUAGUUAAGCAAAGCAGUCGUGUUAAGGAAGACUAUUACGGCAUUAUUACUCUUCGACAAGGUGCAUAGCUUUUCCCAUUGAUAAUGGGAAAUGGUUAUGUCUCUGUGUUAGUGCGCAAGCAUUAUGCUCAAGGAGGAGAAAAGUUUAGCAUAAAAAGCCCAUGGAGUUUUAGACUUCAACCGAAUUCUUCCCCAAGUGCAUCAUCUUAGAAUAUAAAACACAGUCCUGGAUGACUGUAACCCCCAAAUUCAAGAAAAGGCAAAUUCAGAAAAUAGGUAAAUUCAAAAAAGUUUGUAGUCUCAUGCUAUUAAAUUUUUUCUGUGUGCUCAUAUAUUGCUCCCUUCCCCAAAGUUUACAACUAACCAGAUUUUCAAUGGCUCUAGCACCUACAGAAAGAACUACUGACAUACCUAAAAAGAGCUUUAACAUCAAAGGUAAUUUGUACUGGCUGAGCGUCCUGGCUUUGGAACAUUGUGAUCUAGCGAUGUGCCUCUGGGCAUGGGUUCAUCACUGGAGAAAUGAAAGUUAGAAGAGAAGACAAGGGUGCUCACCCUCUCAAAGAGUGGUAAAGAUUAAGUUAAAAAAUACUAUAUCACAAAAAAAUAGGUGAUAUAGUAGUUGUCCCAGGCGGUCCUGACCACUUUUAUAACAAAAGGAGGCGUGUCCAUCAGCGCACACCAUCUCAAAUACAUGCACAUACUGAACUUUGGGCUAAGUCAAGACAACGCCCUUUGUCGAAAAAGGAAGCAGCUGUCUCCAAAUAUAAAGAGGGCUGCAGGGGCCUGGUCUCUGCAUCUUCCAACUCUACAGCAGGGCCUGGAGAGACGAAGGCGAAGCAAACUAGAAGUGCUCGCUCGGCCCUGGUCGCCGGAGGACACAGGUUCUAGACCUGAAUUUAGGGUCGCAGACUUGCGGUGCUAACGCCUGAGGGUUCCCAGGGUUUCCCGCUCGCUUUCACAGACCACCACAAGCUUAAGACCGAGAAUCACUUCCCAGGAUGGCCUGGGAUACUCAGUGAUGAACCCACGGUGACCUGGUGCUUCCUGCCCCGAGACCUGACAGCCUCAACACUCUGGGUAAAGUAAAUUAAAAACCCGGACAACUGGAGUCUUUGAGAAUGAAAACGACAUCGGGAUUCCAGACAGCUGACUCGCUCAGAGCUCCAACUGGGUGUACGCACGGCGAGUAAAGCCAACUCCUACAACGACACGUCACCGUGCUGGGCCGCUUCUUGGCUGGUGGGCGGGGCGACCCCUACUUCCGGAUCCGGCCUCUUCUGGAAUGAAACACCAAGAGGGCAGCCCUGACAGGAUUCACCCCCAGGGAUGCUAAGACGCUGAGACCUGCUGUUCCAGCUCACUGAUUGAUCCUGCCUAAACUGAUGCUCUUUUCAGAGACUUGCUUCCAGAACAGCGUCAGGAAAGACUGCUGAUCCCAGAUGACCUUAACUCAGCCAGCCAUUCAAACCAUCCCAAUCAAGACUUCAGUUAAGGCCUGAACUUUCUGAACACAGAGACAGGACAACAAAUGAUGCCAGCUAGCUUUCUUUCCACAUUACCGUUUUCCAAUUCCCUUUUGGGUCCCCAAACAGGAAUUCCUCAUCAAUAUUCAGUAAGAAGCUAUUAUAAUGAUAUUGUUGUCCCAGUCCCUAAAGUUGGGGUGGAUAGUUUUGGUCAUUUUAUAAAUUAUAGAUAUGUUGUCAUUUUAAGGGAUGAUUUACAAAUAGUUAUAGUCUUGGACAAGGAGGAAACUAGAGAGCUUAGACUAAGGAAUUUCUAUCUUUUCUCUUUCUUAUCUUCCUUUCUUUCUUCCUUCCUUUCUUUCUUAAGUAAAGGAAAGGGGAAAUAUAGUAAUAUUAUAAGAAAUUAGACAAAUAGGGAUAGAUUAUUAAAUCUACUUUAAAAAAAACUUUUUCUAAGAUUUAUUUAUUAUUAUAUGUAAGUACAUGGUAGCUGUCUUCAGACACACCAGAAGAGGGCGUCAGAUUUCAUUACGGAUGGUUGUGAGCCACAAUGUGGUUCCUGGGAAUUGUAGUCAGGACCUUUGGAAGAGCAGUCAGUGCUCUUAACCACUAAGUCAUCUUUCCAGCCCCUGUUAAGUUUACUAUUAAACAAAAGCACUUUAUAGCCACAAUCUUACAUUGGUAGAGAUCUUCAUAUUCUGAUGCAGAACUGAAGUUAUAUUUUCUUUAAAUUAGUACAGAAUUUUGUAUAUUGAUACAGGUUUAAGGUUUUCAUUGGCACUAAUCUUUGUAUAUUGAUACAAAGUUUAAGAUUAAUUUUGUUACAUAAUAUAUGUAUGUUUCAACUCUUAGGCACUAUGCCUAUGAAACUCAUAAAAUCACAAGGUUUAGUCCCAGUCCUUUUAAUAGCUGCUAUUACAAACUGUCUAAGAUAAUUAAAUAAUGCAAGUCAGCAGUCAGUCAG